AUUGAACGCUGGCGGCAUGCCUUACACAUGCAAGUCGAACGGUAACAGGUCUUCGGAUGCUGACGAGUGGCGAACGGGUGAGUAAUACAUCGGAACGUGCCUAGUAGUGGGGGAUAACUACUCGAAAGAGUGGCUAAUACCGCAUGAGAUCUACGGAUGAAAGCAGGGGAUCGAAAGACCUUGCGCUACUAGAGCGGCCGAUGGCAGAUUAGGUAGUUGGCGGGAUAAAAGCUUACCAAGCCGACGAUCUGUAGCUGGUCUGAGAGGACGAUCAGCCACACUGGGACUGAGACACGGCCCAGACUCCUACGGGAGGCAGCAGUGGGGAAUUUUGGACAAUGGGCGAAAGCCUGAUCCAGCAAUGCCGCGUGCAGGAUGAAGGCCUUCGGGUUGUAAACUGCUUUUGUACGGAACGAAAAGCCCUGGGUUAAUACCCUGGGGUCAUGACGGUACCGUAAGAAUAAGCACCGGCUAACUACGUGCCAGCCGCCGCGGUAAGAC
rnacentral:rRNA from 1 species